rfam:Magnetospirillum magneticum AMB-1 DNA, complete genome.
CUUUCCUGCUUUCUUGGACGUUUCCUCCCUAAACUCAAGCCGCUGGGGCAACCCAGCGGUUUUUUUUGAUUUUU